UUUUGAGAAAAAUAGAUAUUUUUUUUGUCGAACUCGCAUCACGGCCUUUUGGAACCUACGACUUACGAGCCUUCUUCGCAAGCAGAAGCUAGAAACCGCAACGCAAAUAUCUCAGUAAAUAUCUAAACGCCGAUCGGCGCUUCCAUCACCUUCAAGAAGCAUAAAUGGCUGGGAGAAACCGAUAUCCUCGUGAGAAUCAUCGUGGGUAUCCCCCAGAAGGGCCUCCUUCUCGUGUUCCUAUGUCUCGACCCAUGCCACCUCAUCCCAUUAUGUUGGAAGAAGAACUUGAAAUACAACACCAUGAAAUCCGUAGACUUUUGGGUGAAAAUCGAAGAUUAGUUGAUGAUCGCAUUGCUCUGCAACAAGAGUUAGGUGCUGCAAGAGAAGAACUUAGGCGAAUGAACAUUGCAAUUUCUGACAUUCAAGCAGAAAAUGAAAUGCAUUCAAGACAGCUAAUUGAGAGGGGGCUGAAGCUUGAAGCUGAUCUUCGUGCCACUGAACCUCUGAAAAAAGAAGCUGCACAACUCCGUGGUGAAGUAGAGAGACUUAAUUCCAUUAGGCAUGAUCUAUCUGGUCAAGUUCAGACUCUCUCAAAAGACCUUGCAAAACUGCAAGCUGAAAACAAGCAACUUCCAGCUUUAAGAGCAGAGGUUGAGGGACUACACAAGGAGCUUAUGCAUGCUAGAGUUGCUAUUGAUUAUGAGAAGAAGGCAAGUGCUGAGUUGAUGGAUCAAAAACAAUCAAUGGAAAAGAAUUUGGUUUCCAUGGCUCGUGAGGUUGAAAAGCUUCGGGCAGAACUUACAAAUUCUGAUUCUAGAUCAUGGGGUGCUGGUGGAUCAUACAGGAUGAAUUAUGGCAAUUCUGAAGGCAAUUAUUCUCGUGCUUAUGGUGAUGGAUAUGGGCGUCCAAUGGGUGCUGGUGACAAUGUUCCAUUGUAUGGCUCAAGCUCUACACCAUGGGCAGAGGUGGAAAAAUCCCGAAUGACACGUCGCUGAAAUGCAAAUGGUUUAUUUUACAAGUUGAAAUGUGACAAAUGUCCCAUCUGCCCUCAGUUAUCAUGGCUAUCUGUUAUGGAGAGGGUAGAAGUGUAUGGUUCUUCUCAGUUUGUGUUUACAUCGAGCUCAGGGGAUCUUCUUCUCAUCAGCAUGCACAUCUGGAGGAAGGGAGGUGGACUGGGCAUCUCACAUGGGGUAGACAAUGUUGCAAUGGUUUGGGAGAAGCAGGUACUGUAUAUCUUAUUAUACUAAACCCUGAUAAUUAAAAUUAAAACCCCAGCCACAUAAGAAACAAAGCUAACUAAGUUAAGUGCAUUGAAUGUUGCUUUCUUUAUGUUUAAAUCUAAUCAAGGAUCAUUAAUAAUAUUUAGAUCUAUAAACUAAUAAAAAUGGAGCAACCAUAGGCCGGGCCCCCUUCAGCAUGCAUGCAUUAUUUCUUGAAGGGAUGAAGAACAUGCCUAAACCCACAGUUCUGUUGAGUUCCUCUUCGUCACAUACAACAUAAUUAUUUAUUGAAUAGGAUUGCCACAUCGAUCCCAUCAUGUGGAGACACAACAAACCAAAUCACACCUGUUAUAAGUAUACAUUUUGAAAAGCUUUGGUUGUUGGCUACCAUUUCAAACAUUGAAAUUAACAAAAAGAUGAUUCACUUCCUUCCUAAAUUAUGGCAAACCCUUAAAUGUAUUUUAAUGCCUACAAUUUUAUUAAAGAUGUUAUUUAUGAAAUCAUUGAUUUGAUAA